rnacentral:lncRNA from 1 species
UUAAAUCCUACUCCUAACAUCCAUCAUCCUCGGUCCUCACCCGUCUUGCGCGACUAGCGAUAACCCGGAUGCAAUAUCCACGUGGUACAGGGGUUACAUGCAAAAGUAGGCUUAUAAAUUUUGAACUAAUGUCGGCAACAGAACUCCGAGACUCUGAAGACAGAUGAGUCCCGCAGGACCCAAGGAAGGGCGAAAAAUAAAAAAUCUAACACCCGGUUGGGCUAUUCCCACCGCCUGACUUCUUUCGCGAAGUCGAUCGAGCUUCUGAGCUAGGGCUUUGUCCAUCUCUCUCUCGCCGGCCAGGAAUCGGUGUAGAAGACGCGGCGGUGAUCAAGAACCAGAGCUCCCUCCUCGUCCUCUCCUCUUCUUGGCGGUGAUCAAGAACCAGAGCUCCCUCCUUGUCCUUUCCUCUUUCUCUCCCUCGUCCUCUUCUUGGGCGGUAGACGCCGGAGGACGGAUGAGGAAGCGCGAUCUCGGGAUCCUCCUCCUCGCGGCCUUCGCCAUCUUCUUCUCCCUCCAGGUACUCCUCCCUCCCCUCCCCCCCCCCCUCCUCAACUCCUGCCG